rnacentral:lncRNA from 1 species
GUGCUGCUCUCUUCAUUCAUCCCACCUUCUCCCUCCCCGUGCUGUGUGGAUUUUUAGAACAUCCUCAGCAGGGCUGCUUAUUUCAAUGACUUGGACCAGGAAACCUGCAGACAGCCCCAUUUUAACAAUACCUCUCAAUCACUAAGAUUCUUCUCCUGGAAUGUGGCUGACUGAAUCUCAAAAUAAAAGACACCUGGGGGGUUAUUUGAAGGCUUUAAAUAUUAUUACCUGCAAUAACUCUUAAAUAUUGUUUCUUUGUCUGAUAGGGGUAAAUGGCAGAGACACAGGUGGGUUGGUAAUAUAACCUGCCAGUUGUUGAGGGUCAGCUGUUGAGUUCCCAGGAUCAUGACUAGUAACUCUAUUCUCCAGUCUGUAUUCACGUCCCUGGUAAGUAGGAUUUAAUUUUUGUUAACUCCAUAUCUGUCUCUUUUUCUCUCCUCAACCCAGCAUCACAUACGUACAAAUCUACACAGUUUCUGUCAAUACCCAUGCCACCUGCUCUGAAGACUCAAAGGUCCCCAAGAUCCUUGCUUUAUUCUCUUCUCAUCUGGCAGACACCACGGGCUGUGUCUGGUCGGCCAUCACUUUUGUUUCCUAAUCCAAUUGCACGACUUGAUGUUCACAGUCCUACUCAUUGUUCUGGCCUGGACCAGUGUGGUGGGCCCUUAUGCUGCUGUUUGCUGUUUCUGCCUGACACUAGUGUUCCUCAGAACUGAUGGGGGAAUGCCAUCCAAGAAACCUCCUUAUUCAUUCUAUGGCCACUCACAUCCAUGAUAUUUUAAUAUGAAUUCUAAUCUGGAGAUACAGGUAAGAAUAUAUCUUUUCAGUUUUUCAGAAGAGAUAGGCAGGUUCAUCUUCAUCUUUAAAACCACAGGAGAAAUUUUCCUUAACAACCCACAUAUACCCUAAAGCUGUAUUUUUUUCCCACACUAUAAGACUUAAUGAUAAUUAGCUAAAAAACAUGCAAAUGCUUGUAACUCCAUUAAAUUAUUUUAGUUCUCUUGAAAGUUCUAUUGGGUGCUAGGUUUUGCCUGGCACUGUUAGCUCUGCUCAUACAAAGUGGAAAUUGCAGCCUGGGUUUGGAGAGGGUUCAGGUCUGGUGAGAUGAAGGGACAGUGUUGAUGCAGGGUCCUGAGGACAGAGAUAUGCACAGGGUACCUAAAACUCAGGAAGAGGAACCUUACCUAGUCAGGAAAAUGGGUAUAGUCAAGAGAAGUGAUGUAGAAGGAGCUGAUUCUAUAUUUAAAUAAAAGAAGACCUGAGUUGUUACGAUUCUUGUAA